GUCCUCUUGGAUUUUUAGGAGGUCUGGCCUGCCCAGUGAAUAUUUAACGGCCGCGGUAUUUUGACCGUGCAAAGGUAGCAUAAUCAUUAGUCUUUUAAUAGAGGGCUGGAAUGAAAGGUUUAACGAAACAUUAACUGUCUCAUUUAUAUAAUUUAUAACUUAAUUUUUAAGUUAAAAAGCUUAAAUUUUAUUGUAGGACGAGAAGACCCUAUAGAGUUUUAUGUUAAAAAUUUUAAUGAAUAUUUUGAUUUAUAAUUUUUAAUUAAUUUUUUUAAUAUUUUGUUGGGGUGACAAAAAUAUAUAAUUAACUUUUUUAUUUAAUAAACAUAAAUUUAUGAUUAUUUGAUCCAUUAUUAUUGAUUAUUAGAUUAAAUUACCUUAGGGAUAACAGCGUAAUCUUUUUUUGGAGUUCAAAUUUACAAAAAGGCUUGCGACCUCGAUGUUGGAUUAAGAUAAUAAUUUGGUGCAGUAGCUAAAUUAAUAGGUCUGUUCGACCUUUAAAUUCUUACAUGAUCUGAGUUCAGACCGG
rnacentral:rRNA from 1 species